rnacentral:rRNA from 1 species
CGGCGGCCAUAGCGAGAGGGAAACGCCCGGUCCCAUUCCGAACCCGGAAGCUAAGCCUUUCAGCGUCGAUGGUACUGCAGGGGGGACUCUGUGGGAGAGUAGAACGCCGC